UACAGCUAUGUACUGGGGGGCUUUGGGGAGGAGAAGAAAAAAAAUGAUUAUCAACAGAUGUUAGCUCAGGUGCCAACCUUUUAAAAAAAAAAAAAAAAACACAGAAUGCCUAUGUUAUCCUCUACUGAACUUUAGGCCCAUCCACAUUUAGGGCCCAGAUCAAAUCUUAACUCCUCCUAAUUACCCCACCCAAUGUCAAAUAUUAUCUUUAACAUUGUAUUCCUUGUUAUAUUUUUAAGCAUAUGUCUUAUCUUCCCCAACUAGGUCAUUAGCUCCUUAAUGACAGGAAUUGUAUCUAAUAUUUCUUUAUAUCCCUCAAAAUGCUGUAGAUCAGUGAUUCUCAAACUGAGGUCACAUUAGCAUCACCUGGAAACUAGUUAGACAUGCAAAUUCUCAGGCCCCACCCCAGACCUACUGAAUCCAAAACCCUGGGCUAGGCUCUAGCACUCUGCGUUCCACCAAGUCCUCCAGGUGAUUCCAAAGUACUCUCAAGUUUGAGAACCAACGCUCUAGUGCAAUAAUUCUUAAAGAUGCUCAGGAAACUGAGAUCAAUUCUAUCCCCUGAGAUUCAGGAUUGCUAGGUCUGCAGUGGGGCCUAGCAGUCUGCAUUUAUAAGCACCCUCGGAGGUUUUGGUGCAAAUGUUCCAUAAGACACAUGUUGAGAAACACUCAUCUAGAACACCACCUCUUGGACAGAGUAGCCACUCAAUAAAUACACCGAUUUACUUGUUGAAUUAUCAAGACUAAAUUGGGAAAUAGGCCCCAUGAAGAAAAACCAAAUUAACUGAGAUUAACAAGGAGAAAUUAACAAUAUACUUUAAAUCUGAGAAGGCUGGAUGAAUUUUAGCACUAAAAUAUUCCUGCCAUUCUAAUCAGGACUUAACUCCCUAACUCAAGAAAACCAACUCACUUUCAAGUUUCUUCCUAGGCAAAAAGCAGAAGAUCUUCAGAAAAAUUCUAAAUCUUCACAUUCUAAGUCUUCAUAUUGACCUCCUUUCCAAUACCCUUUCCCCGCUUUUCAACCAUUCCCACUUUCCAUACCCACAUCUCACAAUAAAUCCUGGGACAGAGCCAGGGGGGAGCUGAUUAGCAUUAUUAUUUAAGGAACUUAAUAUGUUUGCUCCCAAGAGAAUGUAUUUUUUAAAGAAACAAGAAGAUGGAAAUGCUUAACACACGAAAUUUCAAACGUCUCUAAGGGAGACUGCACUUUUUGGAAAAUAGAAUCUGCCAUUGACUGGAUUGUGUCCCUAGCAAGCAAUGGGCCUAGCGUAAGGUGAUAUCGGUCAUGAAGAUAUGAAUCACCUGCUGUGACCAAAGAAACCCAGGUUCCACUAACAAGAUUUGUGGGAUUUCUAUUGGUCUUUCACCUUAAUGGGGGAGAAUAAAGAGCAAGCAGUAAGACGCUAACAUCCAGGAAGCUAAGCCGCAAUACAGCAGCCUUCUUACAGAUUUGUAUAGUUCUACUGGGUCUUUCUCACUUGCGUUUUUAUCUUCGUGCUAAAAAUUUUGUUGAAGACCCUCCAUACCAAGCCUAUCUUAUUUUCUGCUGUCCCCUCAUAGGCACUCCCCAAGCUAGUGGGGACCACGUGAAUGUGCCACGUUCAUUUCUGCCUUUCUCACGUAGAUAUGCUUUGCCUCUUGCUGACCCAAAUCCUAAACAAUUUUCUGGAUCUAGCUCAAAACAGUCCCAAGUCCAGGCCUCGCUGAACUCCUACAGUUUGGUCUAUACCACAUAUUUUAACUCUAAAUAGGGUUCCACCUUUAAUUGCCCAUUUCAUAUUAUGCUGAACUGUAAGAUUGCUGGAGCCUGGGAACACUUAUUUGCAUGUACUUGGUAUAAAGGAAAAGCCUACAUUUUUGGCAUCAGACAGAAGGUGGGGCUUAAGUGUAGUUGAGUACAGUGGGGUGAGCCUUAUGACUUAGAGGCUAAGAGGCCAGGUUCUGGAACCAGAUAGCUUGAGCUCACAUCCCAACUCUAUCACUUAGCAGCUCUGACUCAGUUUCCCUGUCUGUAAAAUGGAGAUAUUGAUAACAGUUCCGGUCUCAUAAGGAUAUUUUGUGUAUUAAAUAAGUUACUAGAUGUAAAGUGAUGACCUAGUUAUUUAUGAUAUACCAGAUACUUUAAGUGUUCUAUAUUUAUUACCUCAAAUAAUGUUAAUAAUAGUACUCAAACACUUACCAGCUUUGAAACUUUAGGCUCUCACCACUGAGUUGGUUUCCUAAUCUAUAAAAUGCUGGUAAUCCCUCAUACAACUGUGGAAAUGAUUACUAUAUGAAAUGUAUAUGUAAACAUUUGGUUCAAGACCUGGUACUCUAGAUUAGGAAUGCCAAAGACAAAGAAAACUUUGAUUUUUUUUUUAGUAUGUAGUGAGCUUAUGUUGCUUUCUGUGGAAUUCCAUUUGGCACCUCAUGAAGAAAAAGGCCAGGUUUAACGAUGGGACUAAUGAUGCCAACUGGUAUUGUUGAGAGAAACUUCAUUGGAAAGAUAUGUGGCAGUUCCUCCUGGAAACUGGAGGAACCCUUCUAAGGGUAGUUUAAUUACCCCAGAGCAGGGUCUAGUAACACUGACUACAAAUCAGAAUCCCCCAUGGAACUCUUUUAAAGCCACAGUUAGCCAGACCCCAUUCAUGAAGGUUCUAAUCCAAUAGUUCUGGAGUGGGGCCAAAGGAUUUCUCACUUUAAAACUACUCAGUGAUUCUCAUGCACAACCAGGCUUGAGAAGCUCUUCUCCAAGACUUAACUAUAACAUCGAAAAUUUCCAAACCCCUGAGAAACCAUAGAACAUAUGGUGGGAGAAGAGGAAGAUUGUCUUCCUCUUCAAGUGACCCUUCCCUUUGGAUUCUUGAGAGACACUGCUUCAAGAAUAAGAAAACUCCAAAGAGAGUUAAAAAGAUGGCUAACUGCAAAUAUAAUGCCUGUCAUGUGGUCCCAAUCAAAAGGCUCAAGGAACAUGAGGCUACGUGUGUUAACAGAACUGCUAUAGAUGAUGAGCCAUUUAAUCU